rnacentral:rRNA from 1 species
GACGAACCACACAAACGUUUAUUCGGAAUUACUGGGCUUAAAGGGUGCGUAGGCGGCGCGGAAAGUAGGGUGUGAAAUCCCUCGGCUCAACCGAGGAAUUGCGCCCUAAACUACCGUGCUCGAGGGAGAUAGAGGUGAGCGGAACUUAGGGUGGAGCGGUGAAAUGCGUUGAUAUCCUAAGGAACACCGGUGGCGAAAGCGGCUCACUGGAUCUCUUCUGACGCUGAGGCACGAAAGCUAGGGUAGCGAA